UAGGGAAUCUUCCGCAAUGGGCGAAAGCCUGACGGAGCAACGCCGCGUGAGUGAUGAAGGUCUUCGGAUCGUAAAACUCUGUUAUUAGGGAAGAACAAAUGUGUAAGUAACUAUGCACGUCUUGACGGUACCUAAUCAGAAAGCCACGGCUAACUACGUGCCAGCAGCCGCGGUAAUACGUAGGUGGCAAGCGUUAUCCGGAAUUAUUGGGCGUAAAGCGCGCGUAGGCGGUUUUUUAAUUCUGAUGUGAAAGCCCACGGCUCAACCGUGGAGGGUCAUUGGAAACUGGAAAACUUGAGUGCAGGAGAGGAAAGUGGAAUUCCAUGUGUAGCGGUGAAAUGCGCAGAGAUAUGGAGGAACACCAGUGGCGAAGGCGACUUUCUGGUCUGUAACUGACGCUGAUGUGCGAAAGCGUGGGGAUCAAACAGG
rnacentral:rRNA from 1 species